UAUACAAUUUUGAUAGGAAAUUAAUUGCUUAUAUAGCGUGCGCAACCCAGACAAUUACGAGGCAGCUCUUGGACGCCUACAAGCAGAAGGCAUCAGAGACGUCAAAGGAAUUCAGACUAUGGACAAUGCGGUUUGAAAGCAAGCA